ensembl:misc_RNA Metazoa_SRP Metazoan signal recognition particle RNA
GCCGGGUGUGGUGGUGCACACCUGUGGUCCCAGCUACUCGGAAAGCUGAGGCAGGAGCAUUGCUUGAGCUCGGGAGUUCUGGGCUGUAGUGAGCUAUGCUGAUCUGGCGUCUACAUUAAUACGAUGAACUCCCUGGACUGGGAGGACCACCAGGUUGCCUAAGGAGGGCUGAACCCACCAAAGUCAGAGACGGAGCUGGUCAAAGCUUUCAUGCUGAUCUGUCCUGGGGUCACACCUGUGAAUAGCCACUGCACCCCAGUCUGGGCAACAGAGCAAGACUCCGUCCG